rnacentral:lncRNA from 1 species
UUUCUCAAACCCAUUGAACAUAAUGAUCGGACGUCAUCUCCCAAUUUUGAACUCCCUGUAUUCGAAGCAGACGAAGAUGAUGUUGAAGGGAUUCCUGAUGGUAUUUCCCGACUUCUUGAGCAAGAAAAAAAGAUCACUCAGCUGCGUCUCGAGAAUCAGCAGAACAGCCAACUGGGGCAUCAAAAAAAAACAAGCACAAAAA